CUGCUCGCCACGCGCUCUCUGCACGCCUGUAAAGGCGCAACCCUCCCCCUACCUCCCCUCUGGACCUUCGGAAUACGGGCGCCUCGAAGCACUGGCAAGUUCCUCCAG
rnacentral:lncRNA from 1 species